rnacentral:rRNA from 1 species
UACGUAGGGUGCUAGCGUUGUUCGGAGUUACUGGGCGUAAAGGGUGCGUAGGCGGUUGUUUAAGUUUGGUGUGAAAUCUCCCGGCUCAACUGGGAGGGUGCGCCGAAUACUGAAUGACUAGAGUGCGGGAGAGGAGAGUGGAAUUCCUGGUGUAGCGGUGAAAUGCGUAGAUAUCAGGAGGAACACCGGUGGUGUAGACGGCUCUCUGGACCGUAACUGACGCUGAGGCACGAAAGCGUGGGUAGCAAACAGG